GGGAUUCAUGAUUCUUGACUAAUCGUGUCGCCUUGCGGACAAUGCGUCAUUCAAGUUUCUGACCUAUCAGCUUCCGACGGUAGGGAAUUGGCCUACCGUGGCAAUGACGGGUAACGGAGAAUUAGGGUUUGAUUCCGGAGAGGGAGCCUGAGAAAUGGCUACCUCAUCUAAGGAAGGCUGCAGGCGCGCAAAGGACCCAACCCUGACACAUUUUUUUUGGCCACAAAAAAUCACAAUACAGGGCAUCCAUGUCUUGUAAUUGGGGGGGGGGGGGAACUUAAAUCUCUUUAUGACUAUCAAUUGGAGGGCAAGUCUGGUGCCAGCAGCCGCGGGAAAUUCCAGCUCCAAUAGCGUAUAUUAAAAGUUGUUGCGGUAAAAAAACCUCGAAUUUGGAUUUCUGUUGGAGGAUGACCGGAUCCCGCCCCUCUUGGGGGGGGCAUCUGG
rnacentral:rRNA from 1 species